rnacentral:rRNA from 1 species
ACCAGGAGGUACAUGAAAGUUUGAGAAGAUGGCCGAUAUUGUCUGAUCUCGGAAGCUAAGCAGGGUCGGGCCUGGUUAGUGCUUGGAUGGGAAACCACCUAGGAAGACCAGGUGCUGUAGGUG